AUUUCUCCUUCAAAGCCGCCCUGUGACAACUGCACAUCCUUCUUGUUUUCACUUCUCAUCUCAUCACUUCUAAAUCCCAGUUUUCUCUUCAUCUUUAAUUUGCGGCCUCUGAUCUACCAAAUUAAAGGGGUUACUUUAAUUUACUUCCUUUUCUUUUCGUUUCUUCAUUGAGUUGAUCAUAAAAAUGGGCAGCACAGCCACUUGUGUAGACAUUCUCCUGGCUAUCUUGUUGCCUCCCCUAGGUGUCUUCCUCAAGUUUGGCUGCAAGAUUGAGUUUUGGAUUUGCUGUUUGCUGACUCUGUUUGGGUACAUCCCUGGAAUUAUCUAUGCUAUUUGGAUCAUCACCAAGUGAUAAAUUAAACUUUCUAAGCUAUCAGGUAGAGAUCGAUGUGAAGGUGGCCAUGCAUUUUAUUAAUCAUUAAAUUUGUGUCAAUAAUUAUUGGAGUGUUAUAUAUACUAAUUAUGUCAUUGUCGCCAUUAUUUGUUUUGUGAACACUGUUAAUGACUCGAUGUGGUCACGCCUACGUCGGAUUUUAUUUUACUUGUUUGGUUUUCACCAUUUUUAGUUUAUUCUCCUGUUCUAGAAGUGCUGUUACGUUGCCAAAUGCCAAAGUUGAAGAGUAGUUGAUUAUGAUAAUUGUGAGGGUCAUUUUCCUACGUAGUGUCUACUUCAUUUGUAACGUGCUGUGACACGGCUUUAUAUUUUUAUGAUAAAUACUAGUAUAUGUUUUAUGUUUA